CCCCAGGCACAUUCCCUGUUUUCCUCCACCGGGACUCAGCCGUGCUGCGUUGUCUGGGUGCUGCUCCCCUGCAGCCAACAACAAUCCCCGUAUCCUAAAGGACAUUUAACAUUAUAACCGUGAUCGAAAAGGGACCGAAAUAUUUCUUCAAGACACCUGAGCUCCUGCAGCACUGAGAGCUUUGGGAGCUGACCCUGCCACAGGAGGAAAGGGCCAACACCUUGCUUUUCAUGGAAUCAUGGAAUAUCCUGAGCUGGGAGGGACCCAAAAGGACCAUCCAGUCCAACCCAACCACCAUCUGGGGAAAGAGCCUUUCCCUGAUUUCCAGCCUGACCCGCCCUUGCCACAGCUCCAGCCAUUAAAGCUUCUCCACAGCUGAGCUGGAAUUUCAGGAAGAGAGGGAUGACCGUGGUUGGUUCCUGGGAAAAAGGAGCUCUGGGUAUCCACCCUGCCAUGGAGGAGCAUCUUCACCUGCUGAUGGAUCAGCAAACCUGUGUUUUUUCCCUGCUUGCAGAAUCACUGAGGUUGGAAAAGCCCUGCCAGCCCUGAUUCAUCCCCAAGGUGCACAUUAAAGACAAAAUGAUCCUGUCCUGGUGCAUCUGGUGGAAGAACAGCUGCUCAGUUAGAUCCUGCUGUCAGGGAUUCAGGACCUGGACAUCAAACAAAACGUGGAGGGCCCAGGACUCGGCUCAUCUGUGUGCUCAGAACCAGCCCCAGCUGCCUCAAGCUGCUGCUGAAGUGAUUUUUUUUAAGAAGUAGAUUGAAGGAAGGACCUCAAGUGCAGCUCAGAUGUGGAAAGAAAGACUCCUCCAAGUGAUGACAGAGCUUGGUGGCCUCGAAGUUUCCAGCAGAUGGUUCCCCCAGGGCUGGUCACAGCUUCAGCUCUCACUGAUUUGGCAAUUUUGGGUGGCUUCCUGCCAAAACUCACCUAAAAAAUGGCAAGCAGAGAAAUUUGGGAAGUGGAACAAGAGCAAAGUCAACUGUGAUGGAACCAGCACCAGUCUCCUGCCAUCACCUCCAAGUAUCAGGAGCUUAAUUGCAGAUCAAUGGAUUUUAAUUGGCUUCAGCUCACCUCGGAGUUCCCAUUUCAGCCACGCAGAAGAAUUUGGAACAGCAACGCAGGGAAGUUCCACCGAGGUGGAGCCUGGACCUGCUUGAGGGAGAGUUUUGGAGAGGCCUGUGAUUGUGAGCUGUAGGACUUCAGGAGUUUCCCUGCCUGGUGUAAUCCAGCAGAGCGCUCGUGUUUUCCAUGGAUUUGCUGCCCCUGACAGCCCUGCUGGGGAGCCUGUGUGGAGCUCUGAGCCCUGGCAUCCUGCAGGAUCCGGUUUUCCUUUUCCAGCCCCCCCAGCACAGUGUGGAUGUGACAGAGGAAUGUGUCCUGCUGCCUGGGACAAGGAAUUUCCGUGGAUGUGACAGAGGAAUGUGUCCUGCUGCCCGGGACAAGGAAUUUCCGUGCCAGGACAUGACAUUCAACCACUGGUGUUCCAUCCCAGAUCCAGAGGGGCUCCAUGGAUGGCUCACGUGGCUCUUUCCCUAAAUGCUCAAAUAGCUGCAGCAGUUGGAAAAUGCCAAUCCCGUUGGGAUUAUUCAGGAUAUUGCCCCGAAAUGGCUUCACUGGUGUGUCCUGCAACAUUCCCCCAAGUGCCACAUCUGGACACAAAGCUACUGCUUAAGACUUGAGCACAGCUGAGCUUUGAAGCAGAGGAGAAACAUUUCUGAGGGUCACGGACAUCUCCAGUCUGGGAGGAGAUUGAGAGUGUGCAGGGAAGGGAAGGGAGCUGGGA